rnacentral:rRNA from 1 species
GUGGGGAAUAUUGGACAAUGGGCGCAAGCCUGAUCCAGCCAUGCCGCGUGAGUGAUGAAGGCCCUAGGGUUGUAAAGCUCUUUCGCCAGGGACGAUAAUGACGGUACCUGGAUAAGAAGCCCCGGCUAACUUCGUGCCAGCAGCCGCGGUAAUACGAAGGGGGCUAGCGUUGUUCGGAAUCACUGGGCGUAAAGCGCACGUAGGCGGACUGUUAAGUCAGGGGUGAAAUCCUGGGGCUCAACCCCAGAACUGCCCUUGAUACUGGCGGUCUUGAGUGUGGGAGAGGUUGGUGGAACUCCGAGUGUAGAGGUGAAAUUCGUAGAUAUUCGGAAGAACACCAGUGGCGAAGGCGGCCAACUGGCCCAUUACUGACGCUGAGGUGCGAAAGCGUGGGGAGCAAACAGG